UAAGUAGAGAGAGAUGGACAGCGAGUGAUAAUAAGUGUGCCUCUAAACCCACAUAGACCAGGAAAAUCAGGAAUAAUUCUGUUUGGGCCAAAAAAGUAAACAGCUAUGAGAGCAGGAUGAGGAUCAGAUUCAUUUUCAGUUGAAAUAAUAUAAUUCCAAGUUUUUUAAUUUAUCUUUUCAGGUUUCAUCGUCCAUAACAGUUUGACCACAUCCCAUAUUUCAUGUAACAGUUUUCUUUUGGGAAAUCAUUGCAUCCUGAAGACCUGAGAUUGCACUGGAACUUAAGUAUGAGUGUGUGCUACAGUUUACCCUCACGUUAAUGAAGAAAGUGGCCCUCGUCUUUAUCAAUGGACAAAUGAUUUGUCUAGGAGGAGAACUCACGUGAAGCAUUUGUCCGUGUUCAGACAGACCACAGUCUGUGGUUACCCCACACAGACAAGUUGGUGGACUUCUUCAUCAGAGCUCCACAAGUCAGGAAGUGCUGAAGACAAUCGCUUGAGAGCCUGGCUACCAGGAACUCAUCAGAUUUCAUAGGGUUGUGACUGAGGGUAACUGCGAGGGAGGGGUUGUGUGAGAAGGACUGAGAGCUGGGGGAAGAGAGUCUUCACUUGUCAGUCCACAGAGAAAAGUGGAAUGGAUGGAACUGCCUAAUGAUGCACAGUGGGAAGAAUUAUUUAAAGGAAAAAAAAAAAGAGACUCUUGCAUUGCUUUGAGGAAGAACUCCCAGAUGAUCAGUAUGUCUUCAGCCAGUGGUCCUGUAAAAGUGAAGGAAAAUCCUUGGAGUGUCUGCAGCCUGCUUUUGUUCAGUGUGAAGAAUGCUUCUUAGAUUUGUAAUUUUUUAUACUAUCUUGAAAUAGUAUAUGUGAAUACAGUACUAUUAAAAUUAAGUGGUAUGGAGUGUGAAAGGCAAUACAUGAUUUUUCUAAGUUGGCCCAAAGGCCCAUUAAAAAGCCCAUGGCAUUGUUUACACUAAGAAAUUUUCUGUCUUAUAUUAGCACUUAUUUAUCCUUUGAUUAAUGUACACAACAUUUGGGGGGUGGGUCUGGAAUUCACAUAUGCAUACUUUUAAUGCAGUAUUACAGUAUAUUUGCUAUUUAUCCUUUCUAAUGUGUGUACAUAUUACAAUUUAUUUUUGUCUUUUAUGUGCCCUGUUCAGUUUUUAAUUAUGAAGUGUAAGUAUUUCCUUUUCUGGCAAUAAAAGAUCUGUGUAGAUGUGAUUUUUACCUCA
rnacentral:lncRNA from 1 species